UGGGGAAUUUUGGACAAUGGGCGAAAGCCUGAUCCAGCAAUGCCGCGUGUGUGAAGAAGGCCUUCGGGUUGUAAAGCACUUUUGUCCGGAAAGAAAUCCUUGGCUCUAAUACAGUCGGGGGAUGACGGUACCGGAAGAAUAAGCACCGGCUAACUACGUGCCAGCAGCCGCGGUAAUACGUAGGGUGCAAGCGUUAAUCGGAAUUACUGGGCGUAAAGCGUGCGCAGGCGGUUUGCUAAGAUCGAUGUGAAAUCCCCGGGCUCAACCUGGGAACUGCAUUGGUGACUGGCAGGCUAGAGUAUGGCAGAGGGGGGUAGAAUUCCACGUGUAGCAGUGAAAUGCGUAGAGAUGUGGAGGAAUACCGAUGGCGAAGGCAGCCCCCUGGGCCAAUACUGACGCUCACGCACGAAAGCGUGGGAGCAAACAGGAUUAGAUACCCUGGUAGUCCACGCCCUAAACGAUGUCAACUAGUUGUUGGGGAUUCAUUUCCUUAGUAACGUAGCUAACGCGUGAAGUUGACCGCCUGGGGAGUACGGUCGCAAGAUUAAAACUCAAAGGAAUUGACGGGGUCAUAGCUGUUUCCU
rnacentral:rRNA from 1 species